rnacentral:pre_miRNA from 1 species
AGGAGGAACAGCCCCAGUGGCGGGGCAGCUCUGGAAACCUGGAUUCAGCUCCAGGAACUCCAUCUGCAGGGCCUGGAGGCUCCGGGGCGGG